rnacentral:lncRNA from 1 species
UGCCCAGGCUGGAGUGCAGUGGCACAAUCUUGGCUCACUACAACCUCCACCACCCAGGUUCAAGUGAUUCUCCUGCCUCAGCCUCCUGAGUAGCUGGGAUUACAGGCUUGCACCUCUACGCCUGACUAAUUUUUGUAUUAUUAGUAGAGACAGGGUUUCACCAUGUUGGCCAGGCUGGUCUCAAACUCAUGACCUCAGGUUAUCCGCCCGCCUCGGCCCCCCAAAGUGCUGGGAUUACAGACAUGAGCCACCAUGCCCAGCCUCUACUAGCUGAUUUUAAAUCAGAGUAAGAUAAGUGAUGCUUAUUUAUAUGUACCUUUUCUCCAAUUCCUUCUCACUAACACUGAGAGGAACAGAGAAUUGUCAGAAUAGUAACUAUUGUGAUAAUGGUAUGCAGCACUCAUUCAGCACUUACUGUUACCUGGCACUGUGUCAGGGACUAGACAUUAUUUUAUUUAUCCUUCUAGUAUUUCCCCCAUUUUCAGAAGGGAACCAGAGGCUUAAGAUUACACAGCUAGUAGGCAAUAGAGCUGGAAUUGAGCCCCUAUCUGACUCUAGCUAGUGCCCUUAAUUACUAUUGUAAAUGGCUAGGAAUCGUAUUUGUGAGGAUUUGGUAGGUUUGGAAAAGGACUUUCUUAAUCCUGAUAUUCAGAAUUGUCCUAAAACUUACAUAAAAGCCUAACCUAGCUUUUACUGUAUUGUUAGGCUUCAGGGAUACUAUGUGACCUGAAAUAUAUACACAUUUUUAACAAGUGGUCCAUGUUUUAACAGGUUUGGCCAGCCCUUCUUACAAGCUUCCUUUGUGCCAAAUUUUCAUUGUUUUUUGAAAUCACCAAACCAUGUUACUAAUGUUGUGUUUUGGUUUGUUUUACAGUGAUCCUUUUCUGUAUGGCUGCCCUAAUAUUUCCAAUAGGAUUUUACAUCAAUGAAGUCGGAGGUCAACCUUAUAAAUUACCCAACAACACAGUAGUUGGGUCAUCAUAUGUACUUUUUGUCUUAUCAAUUUUCUUUACAAUAGUAGGACUUCUAUUUGCUGGCAAAGUUUGUUUACCAGGCUGAUGAAUGUCUAAAUUGCUUGACUCUUAUUAUUUUUUAUUUUAUUUUAUUUUUUUAUUUUUGGAGGGUGGAGAGGACAAAGGCGAGGCAUCUGAGCAGGCCUCUCAUGGGAAGAUGCUCAGAUGAAACUGAUGCUGAGAAGGAAAAAAAAAUGCUUUGGUUUGUUCUCACUAUGCACUUUGGAUUUAAAAAAAAAAAAAAAAAGGAGAGCCUUUUCCAUAACCAAAUACAGACAAUAUUGACUAAAUCUCCUGAGCAUAUUCAGGCAGUCAGGUCUGCACUGUGAUAGCAACCUAGAGAAGGAGAAUGCUUUAUACCGAAAAGCAUGUGGCCCUUUGUGACUCUGUUAUUCCGUUUUUAAUGUCUAAUGAUUCAUUAGAGGAAAAAAAAAAGUCUAAGUAUUUAUGUGUCAUGGUGGACCAGAGGGAUGCAAGAGAAGUUCAUGUGGGGCUGGCCUCACCUCCUAAGAAAUUAGUGUUCACAACUUCCUUGUAAUAGUAUGAGCCUUUGGCACCAGAAUGGAUUGCCGUUGCAUUACUGCACCAAGAAGCCAAUAGAUCAAAACUUGUUUGCUAAAAUGUAUGUAAAAAUUCUGAAAUUCCCUCUCUCUGUGUAC